AUGGUCUCGAUCUCCUGACCUCGUGAUCUGCCCGCCUCAGCCUCCCAAAGUGCUGGGAUUACAGGCGUGGGCCACCGCGCCUGGCCUAUUUAUUUAUUUUUGAGACAGAGUCUCGUUCUGUCUCCUAGGCUGGAGUGUAAUGGCGCAAUCUUGGCUCACUGCAACCUCUGCCUCCUAAGUUCAAGCAAUUCUCCUGCCUCAGCCUCCCAAGUAGCUGGGAUUACAGGUGCCUGCCACCAUGCCCAGCUAAUUUUUUGUACUUUUAGUAGAGAUGGGGUUUCACCAUAUUGGCUAGGCUAGUCUUGAACUCCUGACCUCAGGUGAUCCACCUGCCUCAGCCUACAAAAGUGCUGGGAUUAUAGGCAUGAGCCACCGUGCCCAGCCCAUUUAUUAUUUAAAAUGCAUGAUGAGAUUUAGAAUUAUAGAGAAAGACCCAGAAAAAGGAGAAAAGGAUACAUUUUCAUUUUUCUUAGGAGCCGCAGAUAUGCUUGAUUUGACAUAGCUGUCACAGGGAUUUUGCUCAUUAGCAUGGGGAAACUAUUCCUGGUGUGUCAGAGCACCCCCAGAUUGGGCCAGCCAGGGAUGGCAGGGGAGGAGGAGUGAACCUGGGAGUGCUGGGCUGGGGUCCAGUUGAAACUCUGCCACUGAAUUGCACGCUUUGGACAUGUCACGAAGCCUUUCUGGUCACACCUUGCCUGAUGCCUUUUGUCCCUUUCACCCUGAUUCUGUGAUUCCAUGAGGCCUGUUUAGCAUCCCUUGGAAGACCCAUGGAUUGAUUCACCAAUCAGCUGAUCAGGCGAUCAAUCUGUCAAUCCACCUAGUUCACCUCAGGACCUUCUAUGAUUGCAGUGAUGGAGAGGACCCGGUGUGCCAAGGGUGUGCUGCAGACACAUGGGUCCCCUGGUUUUGAGGAUACACAGAUCUUUACAAGGAUCAGAAGAGACUCAGGUACUUUGGGUUACGGGUGACAGAAAGGAACCUAAAGCAUCUGAGACCAAAAGAGGGAGUUUAUCAUAAAGUGUCAGGAUCUCUCCCAAGAACCACACAACAGGGAGAUCAGGGAGGUCGUCCAAGUGCCUGGGCCAGAACCUCGAGCCCCACCAACCCAGACAGCUCCUUCCCUCUGCUUCUCUGGGGCUGCCUGGCCUCUCAUUUUUGCUUCUCCUGGUGCAUCUUGGUUCAUGUAGUCCGUGGAGGUUGAAUAGCAACAGUGAAUCUCAGUUCCAGAUUAAUGGAAGGGAAAAUCUGAUUGGCCCUGCUUGGACAGGACUCCUGCCCCUACUCUACCCAGCCUGAGCCAGAUAUUCCUGGACCGGAUAUAAUGUCACCAGGCUACCUCCUAGGUGUGUGGAAUUGGCGGUUUCUCAGAGAACGGGAGAUUGCGACUGCCCCAACACCCCACAGAGUGUUGUGUUAGGACGCAGGUUUCACUGACGCAAGACGCCAAAUAAUAACAGCUUAGACCAAAAUGGAAGUUUAUUUCUUGCCUGUGUGUAAUAGUCUGCGUGCAGACAGUCCAGGGAUAAUACAGUAGCUCCACGGUGUUUGGGACCCAGGCUCCUUCUAGCUUGUUGCUCUGCUCCUGGGAUAUGUCCCUUAUACACAUGAUUGAAGAUGCUCGCCACAAUCUCCACAUUCCAGCCUGGGAAAAAGGGAGGGAGGGGACAGAGAAGACAGGUGCCUUCCUUUUAGGGCCACAAUUCUUCUUGCUAAGUUCUCAUUAGCCAGACCUUGGUCAUACAGCCCUGCUGCUGCAAGACGGAUUGGGAAAUGCUGACUUUAGCUAAGUGGUCAUGCAUCCCGUCAAAUAUUCUACUAUCCUGCAAGAAGGUCAAAUAGAUAUUGGGGGGCAACCUCCUACAACAAGUAAUAAUGGCCUCGCUUCCUGGAAACUCAUGGAAGUUUUUCUCUCUUCUGACUUCUAGCAGGUUAUUUAUUGCCAAGAAAGAGGUAUGGUGGGCAUGGGAAGAAUAUCUACAGGGAAAUGCUUCCAAAGGUGUGACCAGGGGGAGUUUAGACUAAAUGAUUUCUAAAAUCCUUUCUUACUUUUAUGCCACUUCAAGAAAGGCCUGGGAGCCGGGCACCGUGGCUCAUGCCUAUAAUCCCAGCACUUUGGGAGGCUGAGACAGGCAGAUCACUUGAGGUCAGGAGUUCGAGACCAGCCUGGCCAACAUGAUGAAACCCUGUCUCUACUAAAAAUACAAAAAUUAGCUGGGUGUGGUGGUGUGCCCUUGCAAUCUGAGCUAUGCAGGAGGCUGAAGCAGGAGAAUUGCGUAAACCCAGGAGGUGGAGGUUGUAAUGAGCCAAGAUCGUGCCACUGCACUCCAGCCUGGGUCACAGAGCAAGACAGAAAGAAGGAAGAAAGAAAGAAGGAAAGAAAGAAAAAGAAAGAAAGAAAGAGAGAGAGAGAGAAAGAAAGGAAGGAAGGAAGGAAGAGAAAGAAAGAAAGAGGGAAAGAAAAAGAAAGAAAAGGAGGAAAGAAGAAGGAAAGAAAGAAAGGCAGGCAGGCCUGGGGAUGAUGUGCCUCUUCCUCUAUCGUAACUUAGGGCACAGAAAAGGAAGUUCUUGGGACAGAUUGCAGAACUGAAUUUGGUAACACAGAGUUCUUUAAAGAAUAGAUGUCCAGCCUAGGUGCCGUGGCUUAUGCCUGUAAUCCCAGCAUUUUGGGAGGUUGAGGCAAAUGGAUCACCUGAGGUCAGGAGUUUGAGACCAGCCUGGCCAACAUGGUGAAACCCCGUCUCUACUAAAAAGACAAAAAAUUAGCCAGGUAUGGUGGCGGGUGCCUGUAAUCCCAGCUACUUGGGAGGCUGAGGCAGGAGAAUCACUGGAACCUGGAGGGCAGAGGUUGCAGUGAACCGAGAUUGCACCAUUGCACUCCAGCCUGGGCAACAAGAGCAAAAUUCCGUCUCAAAAAAAAAAAAAAAAAAAAAAAAUAGAUUUCCAGUGCUGUGGUUGUCCUUGUCAUAGCCCAGUUCUGCUAAACAAGGUUGAGUUGAAGUUGUCUCCUUCAGACUCUAGAGCCACAUAUUAAGUCCCUGCCUGGUAACCCCCUCCUGCGGCUGGGCUGAACAGAGUCGCUCAGAGCAGCUAACCCACCAGUGAAGCUGUGGUGGGCAUCUGCUGCAUGCAGGGCCCUGGGCUGGCUGCUGUGGGGACCCACGGGGGCAGAAGGCUGUGCUCGCUGACCCUUUUCCUCUCAGCCACCAGGCUGACCUCAUUUUCCGUUGAGACUUCCUGUUCUCCAGUAAUUGCUUGGUGGGGCAAGAGGCUUCAGUUCCAAGUCAGCAAAUGGGAUCUGAGUCAUGAUGUAUAUGGUAGGCUGGGCUAUCUCACCUUCUGGAGGCCAAACUUGACCCGGGAUGGAAAUAAUGAAGCAGCCACUGGCUUUCCCAAGGCCUGUGAUCCUCCUGGUAACCAGAAAUCCCAAAUUCUUAUCUCCUGCUCUUCCAGGUGGUCAUCGGUGUCCUGCUCGUGGUCAUUGGUGAGGAGCCCAGCCUGCAGUCAGGCCUUCUGCCUCGGCACCCGUGGCUGGCAGAAAGGCCCCACGUGUCCCCUGGGCCACCCUGCAUUGGCACAGGCAGCUUCACAACCACACGCUGACCUGCAGCGAGCCCUCCGCUAACAGAGGCCCAAAGACCAACUUCCACCCCGCGAGGGCAGGCGCCCUGUCCUGUCUCCUGGUAUCCCAUGGAGCAGACCCUCCGCAGUACCUGCUGAAUGACUGUGCCAGCACCUCGCUAACUGCUAACUCACUCACUCGCUCACCGCUUCUCCAUGAGCACUCGUCCCCACGCCUACAGGACCCAGCUUAAGUUCCCAAAUCCUGCACGGCUGAACCUGAAUGAGGUAGAAAAGCAGUGGCGACUCAACCAGCUCAACAACGCAGCCACCAUCUUGGUCUUCUUCACUGUGGUCAUCAAUGUUUUCAUUACAGCCUUCGGGGCACAUAAGACAGGGUUCCUGGCUGCCAGGGCCUCAAGGAAUCCUCUCUGAAUGCAGCCUGGGACCCAGGUUCUGGGCCUGGAACUUCUGCCUCCUUCCUCCGUGAUCUGCCAGGCUCGUGGGCACUUUCCACAGCCCAGGAGAGCUUCUGAAAGGACAGUAUAGCUGCCCUUGCUCCCUACCCACAGCACCUGAGUUAAAAAGUGAUUUUUUUGUUAUUGGUCUAAGGGACUUCCAUCUUGGUCUGGAGUCCUGAGCUCAGACGCAGGUACUGCCAGCCAUACCUUCCUGGUAGCAUCUGCUGGACCUAAGUAAGGCAUGUCUGUCUAAGGCCAAGUCUGCCCGGCUUAAGGAUGCUGGUUCUGACUCUACCCCACUGCUUCCUUCUGCUCCAGGCCUCAGUUUUCCCUUCUUGUAAAAUGGAAUCUAUAUCUAUAAAGGUUUCUUCAAAUCCA